rnacentral:ncRNA from 1 species
ACAUCUGUUAAGGAAAUGAUUAAAAAUAAUUUGGUAGAGGUUAUUUUUAGUCGGCAUAGAUAGCUCCAAACAGGUAGAGUACAAAGUAAAUUCGUUAGGGUACUAAAAGACCGAUGUUUUUUAACAUCGGUCUUUUUU